rnacentral:rRNA from 1 species
AUUGAACGCUGGCGGCAUGCUUUACACAUGCAAGUCGGACGGCAGCACAGGGAAGCUUGCUUCUCGGGUGGCGAGUGGCGAACGGGUGAGUAACAUAUCGGAACGUACCGGGUAGCGGGGGAUAACUGAUCGAAAGAUCAGCUAAUACCGCAUACGUCUUGAGAGGGAAAGCAGGGGACCUUCGGGCCUUGCGCUAUCCGAGCGGCCGAUAUCUGAUUAGCUGGUUGGCGGGGUAAAGGCCCACCAAGGCGACGAUCAGUAGCGGGUCUGAGAGGAUGAUCCGCCACACUGGGACUGAGACACGGCCCAGACUCCUACGGGAGGCAGCAGUGGGGAAUUUUGGACAAUGGGCGCAAGCCUGAUCCAGCCAUGCCGCGUGUCUGAAGAAGGCCUUCGGGUUGUAAAGGACUUUUGUCAGGGAAGAAAAGGCCGUUGCCAAUAUCGGCGGCCGAUGACGGUACCUGAAGAAUAAGCACCGGCUAACUACGUGCCAGCAGCCGCGGUAAUACGUAGGGUGCGAGCGUUAAUCGGAAUUACUGGGCGUAAAGCGGGCGCAGACGGUUACUUAAGCAGGAUGUGAAAUCCCCGGGCUCAACCCGGGAACUGCGUUCUGAACUGGGUGACUCGAGUGUGUCAGAGGGAGGUGGAAUUCCACGUGUAGCAGUGAAAUGCGUAGAGAUGUGGAGGAAUACCGAUGGCGAAGGCAGCCUCCUGGGAUAACACUGACGUUCAUGUCCGAAAGCGUGGGUAGCAAACAGGAUUAGAUACCCUGGUAGUCCACGCCCUAAACGAUGUCAAUUAGCUGUUGGGCAACUUGAUUGCUUGGUAGCGUAGCUAACGCGUGAAAUUGACCGCCUGGGGAGUACGGUCGCAAGAUUAAAACUCAAAGGAAUUGACGGGGACCCGCACAAGCGGUGGAUGAUGUGGAUUAAUUCGAUGCAACGCGAAGAACCUUACCUGGUUUUGACAUGUGCGGAAUCCUCCGGAGACGGAGGAGUGCCUUCGGGAGCCGUAACACAGGUGCUGCAUGGCUGUCGUCAGCUCGUGUCGUGAGAUGUUGGGUUAAGUCCCGCAACGAGCGCAACCCUUGUCAUUAGUUGCCAUCAUUCGGUUGGGCACUCUAAUGAGACUGCCGGUGACAAGCCGGAGGAAGGUGGGGAUGACGUCAAGUCCUCAUGGCCCUUAUGACCAGGGCUUCACACGUCAUACAAUGGUCGGUACAGAGGGUAGCCAAGCCGCGAGGCGGAGCCAAUCUCACAAAACCGAUCGUAGUCCGGAUUGCACUCUGCAACUCGAGUGCAUGAAGUCGGAAUCGCUAGUAAUCGCAGGUCAGCAUACUGCGGUGAAUACGUUCCCGGGUCUUGUACACACCGCCCGUCACACCAUGGGAGUGGGGGAUACCAGAAGUAGGUAGGGUAACCGCAAGGAGCCCGCUUACCACGGUAUGCUUCAUGACUGGGGUGAAG